UCCGGCUUAUCACCGGCAGUCCCACUAGAGUGCCCAACUAAAUGCUGGCAACUAGUGGCGAGGGUUGCGCUCGUUGCGGGACUUAACCCAACAUCUCACGACACGAGCUGACGACAGCCAUGCAGCACCUGUUCUCCGACCUAUUGCUAGGAGGAAUCCAUCUCUGGAAACCGCCCGAAGAAUGUCAAGGGCUGGUAAGGUUCUUCGCGUUGCGUCGAAUUAAGCAACCCUUGUCGUUAGUUGGAUUUUUCUAACGAGACUGCCUCGGUAACGGGGAGGAAGGUGGGGAUGACGUUACGGUCUUAC
rnacentral:misc_RNA from 1 species